rnacentral:rRNA from 1 species
UGUGGGUAGCGGUGAAAUUCCAAUCGAGCCCGGAGAUAGCUGGUUCUCCCCGAAAUAGCUUUAGGGCUAGCCUCAAGGUGAGAGAUACGGAGGUAGAGCACUGAAUGUCCUAGGGGGUAUUGCACCUACCGAAGACUAUCAAACUCCGAAUGCCGUCAUCUUAUACUUGGGAGUCAGACUGUGGGUGAUAAGAUUCAUAGUCGAAAGGGCAACAGCCCAGAUCGUCAGCUAAGGUCCCUAAAUGUAAGUUAAGUGGUAAAGGAUGUGGGAUUGCACAGACAACCAGGAUGUUGGCUUAGAAGCAGCCACUCAUUCAAAGAGUGCGUAAUAGCUCACUGGUCGAGUGAUCCUGCGCCGAAGAUUUCCGGGGCUAAAACUUACUACCGAAGCUACGGCAUCAGUAAUGAUGGGUAGGGGAGCUUCCCAUACGGGUUGAAGCAUGACCG